rnacentral:tRNA from 1 species
GGGGAAUUAGCUCAGCUGGGAGAGCGCAUGGCUGGCAGCCAUGAGGUCAGGGGUUCGAUCCCCCUAUUCUCCA